CCCAGAACUCCAUUUACAGAAAUACAUUGACCCCUCAAAACGAGCAUCUGACAUAAAAACCAUGAGAAUCACAGCCGAUAUCACAUCAGGCAGUAUGGAGAUCUUCAUUUACAUCUACCUAACAGAGCAGUGCUUAAAGUACAGCAAACCCUGAUCAGCAAUGAUCCUCAUCCACAGCGCCGGCAAAAUCCAUGAAGGCUUCACC